rnacentral:rRNA from 1 species
UAACGCGUGGGAAUCUGCCCUGGAGUGGGGGAUAACCCGGCGAAAGCCGGGCUAAUACCGCAUACGUCCUGAGGGAGAAAGAUUUAUCGCUCUAGGAGGGGCCCGCGUCGGAUUAGCUAGUUGGUGAGGUAACGGCUCACCAAGGCGACGAUCCGUAGCUGGUCUGAGAGGAUGAUCAGCCACACUGGGACUGAGACACGGCCCAGACUCCUACGGGAGGCAGCAGUGGGGAAUAUUGGACAAUGGGCGCAAGCCUGAUCCAGCAAUGCCGCGUGAGUGAUGAAGGCCUUAGGGUUGU